CCUUAUUGGAGAGUUUGAUCCUGGCUCAGGACGAACGCUGGCGGCGUGCUUAACACAUGCAAGUCGAGCGGUAAGGCCCUUCGGGGUACACGAGCGGCGAACGGGUGAGUAACACGUGGGUAACCUGCCCUGUACUCUGGGAUAAGCCUUGGAAACGAGGUCUAAUACCGGAUACGACCUUCUUCCGCAUGGUU
rnacentral:rRNA from 1 species